GGUAGUCCAUGCCGUAAACGAUGUCUACUAGCUGUUGGGGCCUUUGAGGCUUUAGUGGCGCAGCUAACGCGAUAAGUAGACCGCCUGGGGAGUACGGUCGCAAGACUAAAACUCAAAUGAAUUGACGGGGGCCCGCACAAGCGGUGGAGCAUGUGGUUUAAUUCGAUGCAACGCGAAGAACCUUACCUGGUCUUGACAUAGUAAGAACUUUCCAGAGAUGGAUUGGUGCCUUCGGGAACUUACAUACAGGUGCUGCAUGGUUGUCGUCAGCUCGUGUCGUGAGAUGUUGGGUUAAGUCCCGCAACGAGCGCAACCCUUUUCCUUAUUUGCCAGCGGGUUAAGCCGGGAACUUUAAGGAUACUGCCAGUGACAAACUGGAGGAAGGCGGGGACGACGUCAAGUCAUCAUGGCCCUUACGACCAGGGCUACACACGUGCUACAAUGGUCGGUACAAAGGGUUGCUACCUCGCGAGAGGAUGCUAAUCUCAAAAAGCCGAUCGUAGUCCGGAUUGGAGUCUGCAACUCGACUCCAUGAAGUCGGAAUCGCUAGUAAUCGCGGAUCAGAAUGCCGCGGUGAAUACGUUCCCGGGCCUUGUACACACCGCCCGUCACACCAUGGGAGUUUGUUGCACCAGAAGUAGGUAGUCUAACCUUAGGGGGGACGCUUACCACGGUGUGGCAGAUGACUGGGGUGAAGUCGUAACAAGGUAGCCGUAGGGGAACCUGC
rnacentral:rRNA from 1 species